AGUGAACGCUGGCGGUAGGCCUAACACAUGCAAGUCGAACGGCAGCACAGAGGAGCUUGCUCCUUGGGUGGCGAGUGGCGGACGGGUGAGGAAUACAUCGGAAUCUACUCUGUCGUGGGGGAUAACGUAGGGAAACUUACGCUAAUACCGCAUACGACCUACGGGUGAAAGCAGGGGACCUUCGGGCCUUGCGCGAUUGAAUGAGCCGAUGUCGGAUUAGCUAGUUGGCGGGGUAAAGGCCCACCAAGGCGACGAUCCGUAGCUGGUCUGAGAGGAUGAUCAGCAACACUGAAACUGAGACACGGUCCAGACUCCUACGGGAGGCAGCAGUGGGGAAUAUUGGACAAUGGGCGCAAGCCUGAUCCAGCCAUACCGCGUGGGUGAAGAAGGCCUUCGGGUUGUAAAGCCCUUUUGUUGGGAAAGAAAUCCAGCUGGCUAAUACCCGGUUGGGAUGACGGUACCCAAAGAAUAAGCACCGGCUAACUUCGUGCCAGCCGCCGCAGUAA
rnacentral:rRNA from 1 species